rnacentral:rRNA from 1 species
CCUACGGGAGGCUGCAGUGAGGAAUAUUGGUCAAUGGACGAGAGUCUGAACCAGCCAAGUAGCGUGAAGGAUGACUGCCCUAUGGGUUGUAACCUUCUUUUAUAUGGGAAUAAAAUGUUCCACGUGUGGGAUUUUGUAUGUACCAUAUGAAUAAGGAUCGGCUAACUCCGUGCCAGCAGCCGCGGUAAUACGGAGGAUCCGAGCGUUAUCCGGAUUUGUUGGGUUUAAAGGGAGCGUAGGUGGAUUGUUAAGUCAGUUGUGAAAGUUUGCGGCUCAACCGUAAAAUUGCAGUUGAAACUGGCAGUCUUGAGUACAGUAGAGGUGGGCGGAAUUCGUGGUGUAGCGGUGAAAUGCUUAGAUAUCACGAAGAACUCCGAUUGCGAAGGCAGCUCACUGGACUGCAACUGACACUGAGGCUCGAAAGUGUGGGUAUCAAACAGGAUUAGAUACCCCUGUAGUC